rnacentral:rRNA from 1 species
AACGAACGCUGGCGGCAGGCUUAACACAUGCAAGUCGAGCGCCCCGCAAGGGGAGCGGCAGACGGGUGAGUAACGCGUGGGAAUCUACCGUACCCUACGGAAUAGCUCCGGGAAACUGGAAUUAAUACCGUAUACGCCCUACGGGGGAAAGAUUUAUCGGGGUAUGAUGAGCCCGCGUUGGAUUAGCUAGUUGGUGGGGUAAAGGCCUACCAAGGCGACGAUCCAUAGCUGGUCUGAGAGGAUGAUCAGCCACAUUGGGACUGAGACACGGCCCAAACUCCUACGGGAGGCAGCAGUGGGGAAUAUUGGACAAUGGGCGCAAGCUUGAUCCAGCCAUGCCGCGUGAGUGAUGAAGGUCUUAGGAUUGUAAAGCUCUUUCACCGGUGAAGAUAAUGACGGUAACCGGAGAAGAAGCCCCGGCUAACUUCGUGCCAGCCGCCGCCGUAACAC